UACGUAGGGUGCGAGCGUUGUCCGGAUUUAUUGGGCGUAAAGAGCUCGUAGGUGGUCUGUUGCGUCGGUUGUGAAAACCCGGGGCUUAACUCCGGGCCUGCAGUCGAUACGGGCAGACUAGAGUUCGGCAGGGGAGACUGGAAUUCCUGGUGUAGCGGUGAAAUGCGCAGAUAUCGGGAGGAACACCGGUGGCGAAGGCGGUUCUCUGGGCCUUACCUGACGCUGAGGAGCGAAAGCGUGGGGAGCGAACAGG
rnacentral:rRNA from 1 species